GACGAACGCUGGCGGCGUGCUUAACACAUGCAAGUCGAACGGAAAGGCCCUGCUUUUGUUGGUUGCUCGAGUGGCGAACGGGUGAGUAACACGUGAGUAACCUGCCCUUGUCUUUGUGAUAACUUCAGGAAACUGGGGCUCAUACCCGAUAGGAUCUCCUGCUGCAUGUUGUGGGUUGGAAAGUUUCGGCGGUUGUGGCUGGACUCGCGGCUUAUGCGCUUGUUGGUGGGGUAGUGGCUUACCAAGGCUUUGACGGGUAGCCGGCCUGAGAGGGUUGCCGGCGACAAGGGGACUGAGAGAGGGACCAGAAGGGAACGGGAGGCAACAGGGGGGAAUAUUGCAGAGUGGGCGGGAGCGAGAGGCAGAAACGCCGCGUGCGGGAUGACGGCCUUCGGGUUGAAAACAGAUUUCGCCUGUGACGAAGAGUGAGUGACGGUAAUGGGUAAAGAAGCACCGGCUAACUACGUG
rnacentral:rRNA from 1 species